UCCCGUGUGGACGGCGCCUCGUCGGCCGAGUCGCCGGCGACGAAUACUCGGCCAAAGAUGGGCCCACUCCAUGAACCAGGUGCUGGCGGCGUCCUCGGCUGGACGGCGAGCUGGUCGUGGUUGGGCGGCGCAGGAGUCGUGUCUGCUGCUUGAAGAGGUACUUUGACGCUCUCCGAUAGAUGACCCAGCCCCAGCGAUUUGCUUCAAGAUCCAGCUCUAUCUGUUUGAUUCAUUUUUACGAGAGUUUUGUUUGAUUCCUUCAUCCCUACAACUUCUGCAUAGAUUGCUUUGUUACGCCCGACUACUCGACUAGAAGGAGAUCCUUGCAGGCUCUCAGCGUAUCCCUCAAUCUAUUGCCAGAAUGUUUCCAGCGUAUCCCUAUUUCAGUUGCCUCCUAUCUUCGACUAUUGCUGCAGGAGCGUGAGAAACAUGCAUUUAAAUACUUGACCAUGAUCACCACAUGGUACACGUUAUUUGAUCAGGUAGCGUUUUAGUUCAUAUUGUUGAUUGGUGGGGAACAAACAGACUAAUGGUCAAUGUGGUAAUGUUGCAUCUAGUUCUUGUUCUGACCCACUAAUCAACAAAGCCAUCAAACAUUUCUCCUUCACUCCCUGCCAGUAAUUCCCAAAAUAAACCAAACAAAAGAUUGGGCAUAAAAUUAAUCCCUUGCCCAAUAUCCUACUAACUCCCUCUAUAUCUCCUAUUGCUCUCUCCAUCAUAUGCCAAACAGGACGUACAUGAGAUGCUCUAUUUGAUGGUUACCUGAAGCAAAACAAGAACCAUUGGAAUUCCUAUUGGUUAGGAGAGUGGUGGUUCAGUUAGUCUUCACUUUAUUAGUCCCAAAUUUGGUUGCAUCAGCUGCUUCCGGAGAUGGCCAUAUGUGCCACGAAAUUAGGUUGAUCUGAAGAUAGUACGAGUAGGCAUACUCUGUAGCUCCUAGUGUAGCAAUCUCGACUAUGCAGCUAUCUAACUGGAAUUCAGAACUAGCGAUUUGGUAGUUCCAAGAAACUAGGGAUUCACUUUAAAGCUUAAAGGUGCUCUUCUGUAUUCGAUAUUGCUCUCUUUAGUACAGGGAAUCAGGGAUAGCUUUGCCUCCAAAAUAUAUAGCGAUAACUUUACAAACCGGAGAAAAAACUUGUUGACUCAAAGUUCUUCAAUUGUCCUGUCCAAACUGUAAUAUCUAAAUGACAUGAAUCAUAAUCUAAGAAUUCAGUUUCUGACUUUAAGGAGUGCAGAAGAAAAAGCAAAUAAACUUAUGACCAUCAUAGUAUUCACUUUGGUUUGGUUUCAGAUAACCUGACCUCUCUACAUAAAUAUUGAGUUAGCUGCUUGAAACUUUUUUAUGGACACUUGAAAAUUUAUGAAGGACUACCAGAGCCUCUAUAAAUUAGAUCAAGGAAAUGCUGAGUUAGCUCGAAAAGUCUCCACAUAGAUUAUUGGCUAAAUCAUAAAUUGUAUCAAGUAAUAACUUCAAAAAAGAAAUUCCAGUGUACUUUUUAUUAAAAAAAUCGAUCGAAGGGGACACACGGCCCCCAUCUUCAUUAUGAAACUUUAUAUAAUUUUCUAUGAACAUAUUAACACAAUCAGUAUUGCCCCCACUCCAUCCAUUUAUAUGAGUAUGUGUCUUCUAUUUACUCUGCCACCCAAUGUAUCUGCUUGAAUUAUGUGUAUAUUUACUGUUUUCAUGUAGCAACUUCUGUUGUUAUAUAAUCUUUUAGCAUUGCUGGUGGUCUCAGUAUCAGGGUACGGUGGUGGUUGGCAUUCUGCUUGAUGCGUGCUGCAUCUCCUCCCACAACAACGGCCGGCAGUUAGGUGUUUGCAGCCGGACUUCUUCAGUAUCGCACCCUCUCCGUCAUUUUACACGAGUAUGUCUUGAUUUACUCUCCCAUGCCACGUACCUGCUUGAAUUAAGUUAGAUUGGGUAAGAAUACUAGGCAGCAGAAUUUGGAUGGAUUACAUCCCCAAAUAUAGUUGUUUUGGGCAUAGCUAUCCUACAACCUUAGUGCUCAGACUGUCAUAAUUUCUUUUGCCCAGUUUGUAUGUGCUUAGUGACAGGCCUUCUUGUUCUUGUGUAUAUAUUUGUAUGAUUAUUGUAUAACUCUAUUCUAGCCAGAAGUUGCAGACUUACAAUACAUAUGAUAUAGUGAAGAUAUGACUUCUUUCGUCUUUUUUAGAAAAAUAAUAUCCUUUGGAGCUUCUUAGAUUCAUCCCGGCCUCCCCAUUCUAUUCCAACAAUUAUGUAAAACCAUAUGUUUUAUGAAUCUUUUUUACAUUAUGUUUCAAAAUGGCCUCUUUGUAUUUAUUGGAGAAAGGCCAUACUACCUCCUUUCAUGAGAUGGGGUGCUCCUGUGCCUUUAUGAAAGAAUGGUGGCUUCCUUCGU
rnacentral:lncRNA from 1 species